ensembl:lncRNA
CUUUGAGUCAAGAUGUAGAACUCUCAGCUGCUUCUCUAGCACCGUGUCUGCCUGCACGCUGCCUUGCUACCUGCCAUGACGAUGAUGGACUAAACCUCUGAACUGGAGUCUGGCCAGCACUUUGCUGUUGGAACAACGGCCCCGCCUCAGUGACUGUGUUUGCUCUAAGAAUCAGAAGGAGGCCGGGAGAGGAAGGCGCACAACAGGAGGAGAGCAUUGCAAAGAUGGAAGCGGACACUGGCAAAGACGCAGCCGCAAGCCGAGGAAACCAAAAAGCUAUGGAUUCCUUCAAAGUUCCUAAAGAUAAGAUUUGACCCGGGGAGACUUCCUGAAAAUCUUGGCUGCAUACAUGAAGGAAGAAACCAAUAAAAACUACAAGCAGGCGAUGUAGACGGUUUUCCCUCUACAUGGGAACACUCUGAGACUGGAUGAGACAUGACAAAUCUCGUUGGCUACAGAGUCCUCAUGACUUAUUUUUACAUGCUACCAUUUCCUAUGGCAUGAAUGGAGAUUUCUAUUAUAGUUUGGAGAUAUAGUCCAAAUGGACUUAUAAAAUUGACAGAUGCCUUUUACCUACUGAAACAUAACACAAAAAACAUCUUUAGCUGACUUGUGCACACUGCACAUUCCAUACUUGUGUUAAUACAGACAUGUAUGUUACCUUUGAAAGUCUGUGUGUUUUGGGAAAUAUAAAAGGAGCAGACACCAAUGAAGACAAGUAACCCAGGUGAUCCAGCCUCUCGUCAUGCCUCUGUUGCAGUUUCCUCAAAAUUCUGCAUCCAGAGCAACUUCAACAUGGCCAGAACCCCAAAAGAACCCACCAACAAAGAGACGACUCACCAAAUGCAUGGACAAAGAUUUCUUUAUUGACUCGAGGAUACGAGCUGCAGCAAGGACCCCAUUCGUUCGGGAACAAAUGGAGUAUCCACUUUCAACGUAGGGCUGUUUUUAUAAGGGAAAAUUGUGGGGCUGGGAGCCCCAAGAUUACAAAACUUCGGUGGGUUACACAGGACAGGACAAUGGUCGUAUGCUUCAGGCAAGGUGCAAUUAAGCAGGAUGCUGCAGAGGAAAUAAGUUUGUUAAUUGUCUCCUGGGCUGGUGACUUCUACAAUUGAUGACUAUCUGAUCCUCUUUGGACUAGAGAAAUGUCAACACAGCUCAAGGGUGUGAUAUCUGGUCUAAGGCCUUGAGUCCUGUGGACCUUUGUUUAACCUUGUCUGCUGGGCUGCCUUUUGGGAACUCAGAGAAGCUUAAGAGUUUUUCUAUUUGCACUUUGGAGACCAAAUUUUAGACUUUUAUUAAGUUUUCCUUUUCAGUAUAAGUCUCUGUGUGCUUAUUUGGGGCUGAGAAGGGCGGCUGGACCUGGUGGGACAAAG